AACGCACGAGACCUGCGGACCUGCGGAAGGAUCAUUACCGAGUUUACAACUCCCAAACCCCAUGUGAACAUACCUGUUUCGUUCCCUCGGCGGUGUCCGGCAACGGCCCGCCAGAGGACCCAACAAACUCUUUUGAAUUUUUCAGUAUCUUCUGAGUGAAAAAAACAAUAAAUCAAAACUUUUAACAAUGGAUCUCU
rnacentral:misc_RNA from 1 species